UACGGAGGAUGCGAGCGUUAUCCGGAUUUAUUGGGUUUAAAGGGUGCGUAGGCGGAACAUUAAGUCAGCGGUAAAAUCGAGGGGCUCAACCCCUUUAAGCCGUUGAAACUGGCGGGCUGGAGUUGGAGAGAAGUACGCGGAAUGCGCGGUGUAGCGGUGAAAUGCUUAGAUAUCGCGCAGAACCCCGAUUGCGAAGGCAGCGUACCGGCUCCACACUGACGCUGAGGCACGAAAGCGUGGGUAUCGAACAGG
rnacentral:rRNA from 1 species